GCAGGUUGUUGGUGAGCUUGAGAGUGUCAAAGGAUACAGUCUGCUUCAUCCACUGGGCUCCGGAGGCAGGAAUAAAGUCCAUGAGGAGGACGUAUUCAGCAGCAGGAUCCAUCCCAGAGAUUUGCACUUGGAAUGUAGGAAACAUCCUCCUGCAAUAUGUGAACAAUGAAACACACAAAGAUGAGGCAGUGGAAAGAGAGGAAGCGCUGAGACGUGUACGUUAAUGGAAAUAGAGUUAUUGUUACCUGCCAGCUUUGGUAACAAUCAUCUCGGUGCCCAGAUGGUCAAACUGCUGCCACAGUGCUUGCAUCUCCAGCUGAACUCUGACCUCACAGACUUGGGGGGCCUUGGCGCUGGACAGUAACCCCCUGUUUGCACAGCAGGGCAGAGACAGUUCGCAGUUCUGAGACAGCUGUGGAACUAGAGAGAAGAAGAGAAAGUACAGGGAAUGAGUGAUGAGUGGUUUGUUUUGUUUUCCAUUUUGUCUUCAACUCCACUGAGCUCCCAUUUCUGAUGAUAAAACAAAAAAAUUACCGUCCAUAAUUGAAGGUUUACAAGAGAAUCUAUAAGAACGAGUUUGCCGUUUGGACUUUUCUCUUCACCCCUGUCUCUUCCGGCAACAAGUAGCAACCUCUGUCAUAUCUUCAAACCCAACAACAGACCAAAUCCCCCCUCCAAAAAAAUGUUCUGCAACACAGAACUAAAAGCAAAAAUCUUCUUCCUCUUCCAGUGCGAGAUGCUGGAUUAGAUGUACACCCAAAAUCUAAAAGUGGCUGCCUGUGUCCAGGAACAAGCUUCUUUUAUACACCACAAGACCCUCACAGGGGACCUCUAUGCCUGCCUCAUCCAUUACAAUACUCACAGUGCCACUGACAUGCACUAAUCAAGGCCCGACGCACAUGCUGCCCCAAGAACUGUGAAUUCAAGUAUGUGCAAACACGCAAACACACUCACACACGCAUCAAUUUUCAAGCAUUGGGAAAUCCUGCCUCUCCUUUCUUAUAGCCUAAAGCCUUAAGUGGAGCUUGUCUUGUCCAACCAGUAGGACAUUAACAACAUCCUAAUCAGCCCGGUGUUACUGGGUGUGGACAGAUGAAGACAGCAACAAACUCCUUUUAUUAUUCAUAGGCAAUAUUGUUGGAGCAGAGUUUCAACACCAUACCGAUUAGUCAGUUAUCCCCCACCACCAUCUGAAAUUAAUAUAUCUGGUUUAGUUUAUAUACGUAUGGAAACAUUCUUACAUAUUCAUAAACUUUACUAUAGCACACUGUUCAAUAGUUCUGGACUUAUUUCCAAUAAGAUAUUCCGCCUUUUACUAUUCUAAGUUCCCAAAUACUGCCUCUGUUGUGCCACACUAAGUUUCGUGUCACAUGCACCUAUGAUAAACGUGCAUACCAUUCUACAGAACAUACAAAGUAAACCUUAAAUGAAAUAUGUUUUGACUAAUUAAAAGUUGUGUGAUUACA